UACGUAGGGUGCAAGCGUUGUCCGGAAUUAUUGGGCGUAAAGAGCUCGUAGGCGGUUUGUCGCGUCUGCUGUGAAAACUCGGGGCUUAACCCCGGGCCUGCAGUGGGUACGGGCAGACUAGAGUGCGGUAGGGGAGACUGGAAUUCCUGGUGUAGCGGUGAAAUGCGCAGAUAUCAGGAGGAACACCGAUGACGAAGGCAGGUCUCUGGGCAUUAACUGACGCUGAGGAGCGAAAGCAUGGGGGAGCGAACAGG
rnacentral:rRNA from 1 species